rnacentral:rRNA from 1 species
AUUAUCAAUUAACAAUCAAUUCAGAACUGGCACGGACUUGGGGAAUCCGACUGUCUAAUUAAAACAAAGCAUUGUGAUGGCCCUAGCGGGUGUUGACACAAUGUGAUUUCUGCCCAGUGCUCUGAAUGUCAAAGUGAAGAAAUUCAAGUAAGCGCGGGUCAACGGCGGGAGUAACUAUGACUCUCUUAAGGUAGCCAAAUGCCUCGUCAUCUAAUUAGUGACGCGCAUGAAUGGAUUAACGAGAUUCCUACUGUCCCUAUCUACUAUCUAGCGAAACCACAGCCAAGGGAACGGGCUUGGAAUAAUUAGAGGGGAAAGGAGACCCUUUUGAGCUUGACUCUAAUCUGGCAGUGUAAGGAGACAUAAGAGGUGUAGAAUAAGUGGGAGAUAUUAGACCUCGGUUUGGCAUCGCCAAUGAAAUACCACUAAUCUUAUUGUUUCCUUACUUACUUUAUUAAAUGGAACUUGUAUCAUUCAAAAGCUCGGCCUAUAGAUCCUUUUGAUUUAAAGAGUUUUUAACAAGAGGUGUCAGAAAAGUUACCAUGGGGAUAACUGGCUUGUGUCGGCCAAGCGUUCAUAGAGACGUCGCAGGAUCAAAACCUUCGAUGUCGGCUCUUCCUAUCAUUGUGAAGCAAAAUUCACCAAGCGUUGGAUUGUUCACCCAUGCAAGGGAACGUGAGCUGGGCUUAGACCGUCGUGAGAGGGGUUAGUUUUACCCUACUAAUGACAAAACGUUGUUGCGACAGCAUUCCUGCGUAGUACGAGAGGAACCGCAGAUACGGACCAAUGGUACAAUACUUGUUCCAGCGAACAGUGGUAUGACGCUACGUCCGUUGGAUUAUGCCUGAACGCCUCUAAGGUCGUAUCCGUGCUGGACUGCAAUGAUAAAUAAGGGGCAAUUUGCGUUGU